rnacentral:rRNA from 1 species
AUUGAACGCUGGCGGCAGGCCUAACACAUGCAAGUCGAACGAGUGGCGGACGGGUGAGUAAUAUCUGGGAAACUGCCUGCUGGCGGGGGAUAACUACUGGAAACGGUAGCUAAUACCGCAUACCAUCAGAUGUGCCCAGAUGGGAUGAGCUUGUUGGUGGGGUAAAGGAUCACCAAGGCGACGAUCCCUAGCUGGUCUGAGAGGAUGACCAGACACACUGGAACGGAGACACGGUCCAGACUCCUACGGGAGGCAGCAGGGGGGAAUAUUGCACAAUGGGCGAAAGCCUGAUGCAGCAAUGCGGGGUGGAUGAAGAAGGCCUUCGGGUUGUAAAGUACUUUCAGCGGGGAGGCGUUACCCGCAGAAGAAGCAACGGCUAACUCCGUGCCAGCAGCCGCGGUAAUAC